UACGUAGGGUGCGAGCGUUGUCCAGAUUUAUUGGGCGUAAAGAGCUCGUAGGCGGCUUGGCAAGUCGGGUGUGAAACCUCCAGCUCAACCUGGAGACGCCACUCGAGACUGCUAUGGCUAGAGUCCGGUAGGGGACCACGGAAUUCCUGGUGUAGCGGUGAAAUGCGCAGAUAUCAGGAGGAACACCAAUGGCGAAGGCAGCUCGCUGGGACAUGACUGACGCUGAGACGCGAAAGCGUGGGGAGCAAACAGG
rnacentral:rRNA from 1 species